rnacentral:rRNA from 1 species
UACGGAGGGUGCAAGCGUUGUCCGGAAUCACUGGGCGUAAAGCGCACGUAGGCGGACUCUUAAGUCGGUGGUGAAAUCCUGGAGCUCAACUCCAGAACUGCCUUCGAUACUGAGAGUCUCGAGUCCGGGAGAGGUGAGUGGAACUGCGAGUGUAGAGGUGAAAUUCGUAGAUAUUCGCAAGAACACCAGUGGCGAAGGCGGCUCACUGGCCCGGUACUGACGCUGAGGCACGAAAGCGUGGGGAGCAAACAGG